AAUUAUUAAGGUGUACAAAUGAGUACUUAAAAGGGAAUAUGGUGAAAGUCCAUAACAGCCCCCGCUACUGUAAGAAUGACGAACGCUUGAGAGUUUGGAGACUCUAAUUCCACUGGUGUAUACUGGGAAGGAUAAGCUAUUAGGUUGAGUUCAAAGUCAGGAGACCUGCCUAAAAUUA
rnacentral:ncRNA from 1 species